UACGUAGGGUGCGAGCGUUGUCCGGAAUUACUGGGCGUAAAGAGCUCGUAGGUGGUUUGUCGCGUUGUUCGUGAAAUCUCACGGCUUAACUGUGAGCGUGCGGGCGAUACGGGCAGACUGGAGUACUGCAGGGGAGACUGGAAUUCCUGGUGUAGCGGUGGAAUGCGCAGAUAUCAGGAGGAACACCGGUGGCGAAGGCGGGUCUCUGGGCAGUAACUGACGCUGAGGCACGAAAGUGUGGGGAUCAAACAGG
rnacentral:rRNA from 1 species